rfam:Gossypium hirsutum cultivar TM-1 chromosome 6, whole genome shotgun sequence
GAUUAAAAUUUUCAUCUAUUUUUAUUGUUAAAAACUGACGUGGUUGAUAAAAUAACUAAAUAGUUACAUGUGGUGUUCCACGUACCUUAUUCUAACGUAUAUAGACCAAUUUUUAAUAAUAGAAAUAAAUUAAAUUUUUAAGA